CGGCCGCCCGGCCCCGAUGGGCGCUCUUGAGCCGCAUCCCGGGACCCGGCGCGCGCGGUUCGCACACCGAAAUCGCGCUGGUACUGGGGCUAUAAUCCAGCCUGAAUGAAGGUCAGUUAAAUACAGAAAACAUCCAGCUGCCCUCCAAGGGCUUCCCAAGUGUAUCCUGCAUGCACUCAGACCUGCAACCAUGGAAGUGGUGGUAGUUACAACUUCUGGCUGAACCUGAGAAGCAUCCAGUCUGCACCUAGGAGGACUGCCCAGUCUGGGCCCAUUGGUCAGCUCAUCUUCCUCAACUUCAUUAGCUGCAAGUUGUACUGG
rnacentral:lncRNA from 1 species